GUCCUGGUAGCUCAGUUGGAUAGAGCAGCCGCCUUCUAAGCGGCAGGUCGUGGGUUCGAAUCCCACCUGGGACG
rnacentral:tRNA from 1 species